AUUUUACCGCGAUCUAGUUAAACUUGAUUAACCCUCAAGAUUAAGAUCACGCCAAGAUUAAUUUUUAGCUUCGGAAGCAUAACUAUUUGAUAUCUACUUGAAUUAGGUUAUCACGCUCAUCCUUGCCGAAAGAAAUACAAAUUUUGCACCCACCUUCAACCACGCCGAGAAUAAAAUUUGAUUACAGCAGCAAAGCUCAUAAAAGUAUUUGAUAAAAAUCGAUUUUGAUUUAAUGUUCCCUGGAAAGGAAAGGCGCAUUAGCUUCAAAAUGGGAAUCGUUUAAGGAGAAUAUACAACAGUACUAUUGCGUAUAACAUCCACAACGUGAACAGCAAGAAGCUGUUUAUGAAUUUCAAGAAUUGAGAGACUAUAGAUUCAUCAGACUUCAUUUUGAUUAUCCUGCUUCCCUUAAUUUUACCUUUUCUUCAAAAUCAUCAAAAACCAGGAUAUAAUACACUUUGCUUGACUCCCAGGAAAGUUU